rnacentral:rRNA from 1 species
UACGGAGGGUGCAAGCGUUAUCCGGAUUCACUGGGUUUAAAGGGUGCGUAGGUGGGUCUGUAAGUCAGUGGUGAAAGCCCGGAGCUCAACUUCGGAACUGCCAUUGAUACUGAUAGACUUGAGUACAGAUGAAGUGGGCGGAAUGUGACAAGUAGCGGUGAAAUGCUUAGAUAUGUCACAGAACACCGAUUGCGAAGGCAGCUCACUAAAGUGUAACUGACGCUGAGGCACGAAAGCGUGGGGAUCAAACAGG